rnacentral:lncRNA from 1 species
AAACCUUUUUACUUUUCCCUCAAAACUUUUACUCCUUCCCACUUUCCCCCAAAACUUUUACUCCCCUCCCCUCCCAACCCCCAAAUCUACCCAAAAUCCAUUUCCCAUCAAAAUUUUACUCUUUCAUUUAUUUUUUCUCAAAAUUUUACUCCCAAAACUCUCAAAACCUUUUAUUUUCUUCCAAAAUUUUUACUCCCUCCCACUUUUCCUCUAAAACUUU